GAGAUUUAGAACGCACUACUCACAGCGAGUUCUGAGGAAAGAGAGAAAGAAAGGGGGAAGCUGAGAUGUCGUCGAUCUGGGCGUCUAAGGGAUGGCUGGAGGUCGGCAAGUUCGCCUUGUACUUAUCGAUCCCCGGCGCCCUCACAUACGCUACCACCGACUCCGAUACCAUCCACAAGCUCAUGGGCUUCCGAUCUUAUGUAGUUUAUCCACCUGAGGGUCCCCGCCCACCUUCACCAGAGGAAUUUAGAGAGAUGGUGGCCCGAGAACGUGCCCAAAAGAAGCAGCAGCAAUGAAUGCUUUGAUGUUCAAGUUUAGGGUAAUUGCAAACUUCUUUUGCUGUUUGGCAUAGUAAUAACUUGUGAUGUUUAAUUGCAAGUAAUCCCUUGUAUCCUCAAUGUUUACGUUUCUUUAACAUAUCUAUCGGCACAUAUCUUGUUAAAUAAAAAUACUUAGAAACCCUUAACAUAUUGACUACUUCAUCUUUUA